AUUAGGGGCCAUGACCAUAAGAAACAAGAAAUUAAGUGUAUAACCAUAAGACUGACAUGGCUAUGAUAUAUUAUAUAAUGUUUUGUAAUUAUCCGAAAAUACCCUCAUUUGCGCGUGGAAAGUGGAUAGUUUGCUUCUUCUGUUUAACUAGAAAACUGAAAAUGCAGUUUUGCUGUUGAAACGCACGCAUGCGAGACAGAAGACAGAGUUUUGAAAUCGCAAUAAAGUGUGUAAGAAGUGGUCGCGAAUCGCAAAACGGUGUUUCUGAGCUUUGUGAGACGGCAAUUAAAAAGUUAGGGUUCCAAAGGGACAAUGAUAGUUAAGGUAGAGGGAGCGAUUGCAGAUUCUCGGCAGCGCGAGCGGUUGCAGAGCGGAAAGCCAUGAAGCAAGGACCAUCGUGUGUUGCAUCUCUUGUGCUCCUAUAAAUGAAUGCUAAACAGUCCCUGAAUCAUGUGCGCAUCUGACGGAAGAGGCACUAGCAAUUGCAGCAAGGACAUAUGAUGUUGAAUUCUUCGCGACAUUCCACCCCAAACAACUCCCAUAAAACCUCGGGUGCUUCGACCCCCUAUGUUUUACUUAUGUACUAAGCGGCUAUUAAGAUUAUGACUUAUUUAUAUGUUUCCAUUAACUGUAUAAUUGUUCAAUCGCCAGACUAAUAAUUGUCCACC